CCGAGACCAUACAGGCUUAUACGGUUACCGAACCUCAAUGGAAAAUUCUUCGUUGAAUCUGCCUACCAUCUUGCAACCCAACUCACUGAUAUGCCAACCAUGAUGUUCGCUGGAAAAAGCUUUGGAUGUCAAAUACCCUAAAAGGAUUAAGAGAAUUACCUCCUCAGCUGCUUCGCUCAUAUCGAAGAGUGGUGUGGGCAUGGGAGGUUCAUGGACAAGAGAAUCGUCUAAUACAGGUUUCUUUUGAAUGUGCUGAUACUAUAUAGUUCAUCAAUAAGGCAAGGCCAUGGAUUACAUUGAUGGUCGUUGGCUGGGAAUAUGGUGCAAACAUGUUGACGAAGUACUUGGCAGAAGCUGGAGAGAAUACACCGCUUAUAGCUGCCACGUGCAUAGACAAUCCAUUUGACUUAGAGGAGGCUACAAGGUCCUCUCCUUAUCACAUGGCCAUUGAUCAGAAGCUCAUUGGUGGACUGAUAGAUAUUCUAAGAUCUAAUAAGGAACUAUUUCAAGACAAAGCAAAAGGGUUUGACAUGGAGAAGGUUUUAUUGGCAAAGUCUUUUCAUGAUUUUGAAAAAGCAAUAUCUAUGGUAUCUUAGCACAAGGGACGUGGUUGGGAAUGUGAGCAAGCAAAGGAAGAUUUAUAAAACUCAAUGUUUUAUGUUGAAUAAAUAUAUGAUGUACUCUUCUAUAUAAUGCAGAUUUGUUGUAUUAUGUUCUUUCUCUACUCUUUUUGAGUCAUAGCAAAAGAAUUUGACAUUGGUAACUAUAUUCUAUUUAUUUAUUAUGAA